AACAAAGUGGGUUACAGCAGAAGCAAGAACGUAUAAUUACGAUUAGGCAAGGUCGGAAAUGCCGUUAAUAAAUUUUUAAUACUAUUUCAAGUAAAUUAUAAGUUUGGGACAAAAAUAUUCGUUUGAUUUUUUUACGCUACUAAUUAUCCCUAUGGUGUAGACGGAGUAAUAAUACGUCAACAGUUGUGGACUUUUCGUCUUUUGUAAUAAACGAAAAAGAAAUAGUAACAAUAGUUAUUCUUGAUUAAUUAUUGAAAAAUUGCUUUUGUAUCGGAUACGUACUCCAUUCUGGAAAAAAAGUAGAUUAGCUCAGUUUCACCGAAAGUGGAUUAGAUCAAACUUAUACUUGUACGUACACAUAAAUUAUUGCGCUUAUUGUUAUAAGUUUCGGAAUUUGGUUUGUUUAUAUCGCUUUUGUUAUUUUAACACGUGGGACUGCAAUACGUGAACGUAUUACGGAAGCAAGCGAUUAGUACAAUGUUUUAAUAUAGGUAUAUAAAGACAAAAAUUGUCACGUUUCAAUUAAAACACAUGAACCUAACCUAACUAAAAAUUGGCAUCGCUUGCCUUGACCACAUGUAUAAUAUAAUAUGUGUAUCCGGAUGUACAAUACAUAAAUAUAAAUUUUAAGCGAAAGGACAUGGAAAAAGGAAACGAAACAAGAUGACGAUAAGAAUGUCAUGGUGGUAAAAAAAAUAAAUUACAGAGAAGUUUACUCAUCGCAAACAAAAAGAAAA